rnacentral:rRNA from 1 species
CCUACGGGUGGCAGCAGUGGGGAAUAUUUGACAAUGGGCGAAAGCCUGAUCCAGCCAUGCCGCGUGUGUGAAGAAGGCCUUCGGGUUGUAAAGCACUUUCAGUGGGGAAGAAAGCCUUGGGGCUAAUACCCUCGAGGAAGGACAUCACCCACAGAAGAAGCACCGGCUAACUCCGUGCCAGCAGCCGCGGUAAUACGGAGGGUGCGAGCGUUAAUCGGAAUUACUGGGCGUAAAGCGCGCGUAGGCGGUCUGAUAAGCCGGUUGUGAAAGCCCCGGGCUCAACCUGGGAACGGCAUCCGGAACUGUCAGGCUAGAGUGCAGGAGAGGAAGGUAGAAUUCCCGGUGUAGCGGUGAAAUGCGUAGAGAUCGGGAGGAAUACCAGUGGCGAAGGCGGCCUUCUGGACUGACACUGACGCUGAGGUGCGAAAGCGUGGGUAGCAAACAGGAUUAGAUACCCCUGUAGUC